rnacentral:lncRNA from 1 species
AAACGAAAAAAACGAGAUAAUGGGAGCCCGGCUAACAAGGGUCGCAAGUUUGUUCCCAUGUACCACCAACAGACCAAGUUAUAUUACAGCAGCUGCUAAAUCCAACAAAGGAACAGCCAUGAAACAAGUGACAAGAUGAAGGGAAGAACCAGCCGUUACUCCCAUUCUACCAGCUACAUAUAGCUAAGCUUACACACACAAAAAAUGUCUAUAAACUGAAACAAAACAAAAAAAGGCUAACUACAAAAUUGAAAUGGUUUGCGCAGAGAUGCGACGAUCCUAAGCUCGAUCCUCGAUGCACGCGUCUACCAUAUGAUCCUGUGUGUACCCUCGCUGCUUAGAUGCUCCGGGACGAUCCAGCCCGUUCGUGACUGAAAUCAACAGCAAAGAAGUAUAUUCAGUUCACAGUGCACAACGGGACGAACAAGGAAGCAGACACAGAUACAGAGUUGCGUGCGUGCGUACCAUUUUAUCUGUUGUGGAUGGGAUUCCAGAAGGAGCGCGGUAUCUUCCGGCGGCCAAAGCUCGCGCCGGCGUUCCUGAAGGGCUUCCUAUCGCCGUCGACCCGCAUCCGCUGCUCGGACUUGUGCGUCGACGGCGGCGACACCAGCAGCNAAGCCAUCUUACUCGGGGGUCGGGUCUCUGCUCUGCUCUGCCGCUGUGGUAUGUUUUUCUGGGACAGCGUGCAACGAGGAAGGAAGGAAGGGUAGUGGGCGAGGUGUGGAGUGGAUCGGGGUGCUGAUCUAAUUAACCAAAGGAUCAAGCCGGUGAGAUGGGCAUGGGCUCGAUCAUGUGCUAACCAAAUUGUCUAAUCCGCUUCCCAUGGGGAGAAGUCAGGCCGUGGUGUGUGUGUGUGUGAUCGCUGUCAUGUGCGUGCUGCGCCUUUGACUGUACUGCUAAACCCUUUUUCUGCCUUGGACCAAGAGUGACAACCGCAGCGUUUAGUGGUUGGUUCCAUACAGGGAAUGCAUUUCUUAAAGCUCGCAAUCAUGUGUGUCUUGCCG